rnacentral:rRNA from 1 species
CCUACGGGAGGCUGCAGUGGGGAAUAUUGGACAAUGGGCGAAAGCCUGAUCCAGCCAUGCCGCGUGUGUGAAGAAGGCCUUCGGGUUGUAAAGCACUUUCAGUGGGGAAGAAAGCCUUGGGGCUAAUACCCUCGAGGAAGGACAUCACCCACAGAAGAAGCACCGGCUAACUCCGUGCCAGCAGCCGCGGUAAUACGGAGGGUGCGAGCGUUAAUCGGAAUUACUGGGCGUAAAGCGCGCGUAGGCGGUCUGAUAAGCCGGUUGUGAAAGCCCCGGGCUCAACCUGGGAACGGCAUCCGGAACUGUCAGGCUAGAGUGCAGGAGAGGAAGGUAGAAUUCCCGGUGUAGCGGUGAAAUGCGUAGAGAUCGGGAGGAAUACCAGUGGCGAAGGCGGCCUUCUGGACUGACACUGACGCUGAGGUGCGAAAGCGUGGGUAGCAAACAGGACUAGAUACCCUGGUAGUC